AAAACACAGAAAAUGAGAUUGAAGGAAAGUAUUUGAAUACCCCUUGCACUGAUUCCUUUGCAUAUUGAGCAGCAUUACCAGCUUUGUCCAUCAUGGUAGGACUGGUCUUCUCCUGAAACAAACAAAAUCCAUGCCUUAUCAUGUAUUGGAAGAGAAAUAUCAUUGUGUUCUUGAGCACAAGCUACUGUAGAGGUGACGAUGAAUUCUCUAAAAAAAAAACAUAGAAAUGAGAUUGAAGGAGAGUAUUUGAAUACCCCUUGCACUGAUUCCUUUGCAGAUUGAGCAGCAUUACCAGCUUUGUCCAUCAAGGUACUGGCCUUCUCCUGAAACGAACAAAAUCCAUGCCUUCUCAUGUAUUAGAGCAGAAAAAUCAAGCAGAUUCAUGAAUUAAAAGGAAGAAAUAAACAAAUUUCACAGGCUGACCUGAACUUGGCCCUUGGCCUCACCAGCUUUGAAGCUCAUCUUCUGGGUAUUGUCAGCCAUCUUUGGUUUCUGAUUUCUUUAAAAGAUUUGGAAGAACUCAAAUAAAUUCUCAGAUUCUUGAAAAAACAAAACUCUUGGUAGUAAAGGAAUGCCAUGGCAGCCAUAAUUUAUACUGAUUAAAACCAGUCCAUUGCUGGACACGUGCAAUGCCACGUGUCAAGCUAUAGAUUGCUUGGAAUAUCAUCUGUUAUUGAGGUUGAGAUUUUGGGGGCCUUUGACCAGGUGGGUUGUGAAUUUUGUGAAUAAUUCAUGUGCUAACUUUCUUUGUUUGUUUGACAAAAUAAACAAAUAAUUCAAUUAAAAAAUUAAAGAAUCCAAAAUCUGGAACCCAACUCUUAAUAGAAACCAACAUUUUCAUACAUGUAAGUGUUGUCCAAAUUUUAUAAGACAAUUGAGAAAAAAAAGAUUUAGUUUAUGUGACUAAUAUGAAAAAACUUCUUGAAUAUUUAAUUAGCAUAAACUUGAUUUUUUUUAGAUUUGUUUAUUAAAUAUUUUUAAUAUUUUUUAAUUAUAUACAAAUUACCGAGAUUUUAUUUGAAUGUUCCAUUUAAAAUUUGUUUUCAAAAUUAUAAUGGAUUUUUAUUUAGAAAAUAAUGCUUGUAAUUUAUAAAAUAUCCUAAUAAUAGAUUAAUUAUUGAUUUUAUGAUUAUUUUUUAUUAUAUUAUUAAAUAAAAUAUAAUUUUAAAAAAUAUAAAAUCAGUUAAAAAUUUUUAAGUUUGAUUUACUUGAUAAAAUUUAAUAAUAAUUUUAAAAAAAUUCUCAAAUACUUUUUUUUAUUUAAUUUGAUGUAGCAUAAAAGUUAUGUUUAUUGGAAGUUCUAGUCAUUGGUAGGUUUGACUGAGUCUUUAGGAAUUUGUUAUUUGAUUUAGCGGCUGAGAAAGUGUCUUCUUCAUGAUAUUAUUUAGAGGAAUUGUGGUGAGUGCGUUCUAAUGUAAAGUCUAUUAAUAGGUCUUUUUUUUUUUCAUUGUCAAGAACAUAGCUUUCUCUUUCAACAAGUCUCUUUUGUUAUUUUUCUUUAUUUAGUAAUAGUGGUAGCAUAGCCGGGUUAGUGAGAUAAAAGCAAAAGAGAAAAAGUUCUCAAAUAGUGAGUCUCCAAAAUAGUUCAAAUAGCAGUAGCUCUUUUUUCCUCAUAUUUAUAUCUUGCAGAAAACGAGGUACUUAAAUUCCAAUUUUGUGCAAGCAGUAAUCCCACAUUUUAAUGUUCAUUAUAACCAUUGGAGUAUGUUAAUUGGGAACUUUCUUCGAUCAAAAAAAUAUUGGUCGAUUAUUGAAUCUGGAAUUGAAGAAUUAGCAACAACUGCAGUCUUGAUAGAUGCCCAGAAAACAUAGUUGGAAAAGAGAAAACUUAAAUAUUUGAAGGCAAAAAAUUAGAGAAAGCUUAAAUAUUUGAAGGCAAAAAAUUAUCUUUGUCAUGCAAUUGAUUGUCCCAUCUUGGAAAUAAUUCUUAGCAAAGAAACUAGGAUAUGUGAGAUUCCAUGAAAAAAAAAAAAUCAAGGUUCUACUAGAGUAAAGCAUGUACAGCUUCAAGUCUUGAGACGAGACCCUACAUAUGAAGGUUGGAGAAUAUGUCACCAACUAUUGUGCCAUAAUUAUGGAGAUAAACAACAAAAUGCGAUUUUCAUGGUGAGAAGAUGGAUGAUGGUGUUAUUGUUGAAAAGAUAUUGCAUUCUUUAACAAUAAAAUAUGAUUAUGUUGUAUGUUUGAUUGAAGAAUCAAAAGACAUAAAUACACUCUUUCUUGAUGAACUGUAAAGCUCUUUUUAGUCAAUGAACAAAAGAUGAAUUGAAGUUCAAAUACAAACGAGCAAGCUUCAAAGGCUUUUACCUUUACUCAGUUCUCAAAUUUUAGAGGAAGAGGUAAAGGUAAAGAAAAGGGAGGUAGAGGUAAUAAAGAUGGCAACAUACAAUACUUUAAGGCUGGUGAUGAUCAAUAUCAAGGCAGAGACAGAGGACAGGUUCAACACUUUAACAAAUCUAAGGUAGAGUGUUUCAAAUGUCAUAAAUUUGAACAUUAUCAUUCUAAGUGUUAUGCUAGGCUACCUAAUGACAAAGCAAAGGAGAGCAAUUGUAUUUUGCUGAAAAACAAAUCCAUCUUCUAAUGGAGGUAAAAGAUAUUUAAUUACCUUCAUUGAUGCUUUUCCUCGAAAAACUUGGGUUUAUUUUUUACAGCAAAAAUCAAAAGCUCUAUGUGUAUUUUAAAGCUUUAAGGCUCAUGUGGAGAAUGAAACAUGAGAGAUUGUUAAGACCCUUCGAACAAUUAUGGUGGAGAAUAUUGCUCAACCGAAUUUGAAGUUUUUUGUAUGGAUCAUGGCAUUCAAAGGGAACUCACAGCUACUUAUACACCACAAUAAAAUGGUGUAUCAGAGCAAAAAAAAAAAAGUCUAUUGUAGUAGCUCGAUCUCUUCCUCGUAUUCGAAAAAGGCCUGCAUAGAGGGAAGACUAUAAGGUAACUCGAAUUGAAGAUCCAAUCACUCACUUUGCUUUAUUUUCAGAUUGUAAUCCUACAACCUUUGAAAAUGCUGUCAAAAAAGCAAAAUGGAGGAAGGCGAUGGAUGAUGAAAUUGAUGCCAUUGAAAGAAAUGACAAUUGGGAGCUGACUGAUAUUUCGAAAGCACAUAAAACCAUUAGUUUAAAGUGGGUUUUCAAAACAAAACUAAAAUAACAUGGUAAAGUUGAUAAAUAUAAGGCACGUUUGAUAGCUAAGGGAUAUAAACAAGAAUAUAGGAUCGAUUAUAUAGAAGUUUUUGCUCCCGUUGGAAGACAUGAUACAAUCAGAUUGGCGGCGUAGAACUUGUGGCCUAUUUUCCAAUUGGAUGUCAAAUCAACAUUCUUGCAUUAAAACUUGAAAGAACAAGUAUUUGUAGAACAACCUUUUGGUCAUAUUAAGAUCAUAAAUGAGCAUAAAGUUUAUAGAAUAAAUAAAGCUCUUUAUGGAUUAAAACAAGCUUCACGAGCUUGGUAUAAUCACAUUGAUACUUAUUUUUUGAAAGAAGGCUUUCACAAAUGUCCAUAUGAGCACGUACUAUUUGUUAAAAUUGAAGAUAAGGAGAAAUUGCUCAUUGUUUACUUAUAUAUAGAUGAUCUUAUAUUUACUAGAAAUGAUGUUGUUAUGUUUAAGGAAUUCAAGAAAUAUAUGAUGAUUGAAUUUGAAAUGUUUGACCUUGGUAUGAUGCAUUAUUUUCUUGGUAUAGAAGUAGUGCAAUCCGCUAAUGGGAUAUUUAUUUCUCAAAAUAAGUACGUGUAAGAUAUUUUGGACAAGUUUCAAAUAAGGGAUUGCAAUUCUAUUAGCACUCCAACUAAAUUUGGCUUGACGUUAAACAAAGAUCAUGAAAGGAAAGAAGGUGGAUAACACAUUUUACAAAGCAAAUUGUUGGCAGUUUGAUGUAUUUAACUACAACAAGACCAGACAUAAUGUAUUUUGUGAGCUUAAUUAGUAAGUAUGUGGAGAAUCCAACAGAAAUGCAUUUGUUUGGAGCCAAGAGGAUCCCUCGUUACUUGCAAGGAACUAAAGAUUUUGGGUUGUUCUACAAGAAGGGCGAAAAGUAGUUGUUUAGGUUCUUUAACAAUGAUUAUUCAUGAGAUCAAACUGAUAAAAAAGCACUUCGGGUUAUGUGAGUUAUUUUUAUGUUGGGCACAGGUGUUGUUUCAUGGUCUUUAAGAAGCAACAAAUUGUCAUCUUAUUAACAAAUUGUCUGAAUUUAUUGUUGCCAUAGCUUGUGCUUGUCAAGCUAUCUAGUUAACAAGAAUUCUUGAAGAACUACAAUUCUAGCAAAUUAAGGUUACUAGUUUUUUAUGAUAACAACUCAGUGAUUAAACCUUCAAGAAUCUAGUAAACGGAAGACAACCAUAUCAAUGUUAAAUAUUAUUAUUUUAAGAGAUCUAAGUCUGGUUUAUCAUCGAAGUGAAGACCAAAUUAUAGAUAUACAGGCCAAGUCUCUCAAAUUUGCUAUAUUUGUUAAAUUACAUAAUCUACUUGGAGUUUGUUCAUGUUCUAAAGUGAACGAGAAUUUUACAGAGGAUUGAUUUUCCUUUUAAACUGAUAUAUGUAGAUUUCAGUUUAAUAAAGAGUGUUAAGAGUUAAGUGUUUUAUUUAAUGUUUAUUGAAAGUUCUAGUCUUUGGUACGUUUGACAAAGUCUUUAGAAAUUUAUUAUUUAAUUUAGUUGCUGAAAUGUACGAUGCUAUUUUAUUAUGAUGAAUGCGUUCUGAUAUAAAACCUAUUUAUAAUUUAUUUAUUUUAUUCUCAAGAAUAGAGUUCUUUUUUAACACGUCUCUUUUUUUAUUUUUACGUACUAGGUCCCACUAAACACAGUGUGUCGGAAUGAUUAUUACGGAGGUGACUGGAGUUGUCAGAAACCUGAUAAAGGCUAAGGACUGUCCGUUGUUCAUUGAUGACAAAGGUACGGAUGUGAGCUAUUAUUGGCCACAUAUCUACUUCAUUAUUAUUAUUAUUAUUAUUAUUAUUUAACUUUUGACUAGAUUACAAAUAUAUAUUAUACGUUUUCCUAUUUUUCUUUGGAAGUCAUACAAACUUGUAUAUUUUAUUUAUCUUUUUCUCACAACAAAAAUUAGUUAUAUUAUAUUUUCUAUUAUAAAAAAACAAAGAAAACAUUUACAAAAAAAGUACCAUAUUAAUAUUAAAACAUAAAAAAGGAAAGAUUCCUUGAUAGAAAAACAAACCAUGAAAAAAUAAUAUUAAUUAAUAUUUUUUUAGACUUUAAUCUUUGUUCUGUAAACUCACAACAUAUUUUUUAUGUAACAAAAUUAAUAUGUGGAACUUAUUUUGUCUUCUUUCAAGCACGUCCAUCCUAUUAGGAAAAUCUAAUUUUUUUUCCGACACAUUAAAAUUAUAAUUUCGUUAAAAUAAUAUAGUUCACAUCAAAAUUGAUUUAAUUUGGUGAUUAGAAAAUAAAAAUAUGUAUGAAAAAAAUUUAAUAAUAUAAAGAUAUAAUUAUCCGAAGCAGCAACUUCUCAUAAAAGACUAGUUUGUUAAGAAAUUUCUCAGAGAAAGCAUCUUAAGGCCAGAAUCUUAAGCAUUUUUUAUGAACAUGGAUUCAUCACCUUCUGAUGUUUGCCUGUGAAUUUGUAAAAGCAUGAGUGGAGUGUUUUAUUAUUUUUUAAUAAGUUUGAUAUUUUUUUUCUAGAAAUAUGUAAAAUUAUCAUUUAUAAAAGAGAAAAUAUUAUUUUAAUAUUUGUUUAGCACUUUAAUAUGCAAAAUAAAUAUAAAAAAUUUAAAAUAAUAUUUUUUAAUAUUUAGCUUUUCAUUUAAGACACCCAUGGGAGAUGCUCUAAUGUGUGAAGGCAAACGUUAGCUCUAAUCAAAUAAAUUUAGCAGUGAAUUAAGAGCAAAGUACAUACACAUAUAUAUAUAUAUACACACACACACACAUAAAUAUAUAUAUAUAUAUAUAUAUAUAUAUAGGGCCAUCUGCACAUGAAGAUGAAGCAAUGUUGGGAUCUCAUAAACCGAGGCAGAAGAUCUUUAAACAAGUACGAAACUGAAAGUAAAUUUCAGUAAUUAGGGCAAUAUCUGCCUGCAAACAUCACGAGAGAGCUACAGAGAGAGAUCUCUUCUUUAAUCAAAAGGAAAUGACAGAAACACAACAAUAGAUGAACAUUGCAUUCAAUUUCUAAAUUGCUCCAUUCAGCUAAUUCAUUUGUUCAUGCCAGUUGCCUUCUUAAUUCCGUCCACAGUUCCCUGUGCCGUAGACAUCACCUGUUGACCAGCCUACACCAAGAGCAAGUAUCAUAAUUAAAUUACACAUCUGUUCGUUAUAUUCUUGAGCACAAGCUACUGUAGCGGUGAGGAUGAAUUCUCUAGGAAAAAAAACACAGCAAAUGAGAUUGAAGGAAAGUAUUUGAAUACCCCUUGCACUGAUUCCUUUGCAUAUUGAGCAGCAUUACCAGCUUUCUCCAUCAUGGUAGGACUGGUCUUCUCCUGAAACAAACAAAAUCCAUGCCUUAUCAUGUAUUGGAAGAGAAAUAUCGUUGUGUUCUUAAGCACAAGCUACUGUAGAGGUGAGGAUGAAUUCUCUUAAAAAAAAACAUAGACAUGAGAUUGAAGGAGAGUAUUUGAAUACCCCUAGCACUGAUUCCUUUGCAGAUUGAGCAGCAUUACCAGCUUUUUCCACCAAGG
rnacentral:lncRNA from 1 species